rnacentral:lncRNA from 1 species
GGAAAAUGACAUGCUUUCCAAAAGUAUUUAAAUAUCAACUCUCUUUUGUUACAGCUGUGUAAGAGCCAUAUAAAAUCAAGUAACAUGUAGGAGAGAAAAGGGGUCAUGAAGGAGGAGUUUGAGCAAAAAGUAAUGCUAAAAAAGAAAAAAAAAUCCAUUGCAAAUGGUAAUGUAAAUAAGGUAAAACUUGAAAACUAUGAAGCAAUACUGCAGAUAGUCAUGUCUGAAGGAAUACCUAGAGGGUUCUUUUUGGUGGUGAUCUUCACUCCUGGAUCUGAAUUUUUCUGGACUGUCUCCCUUACCACUUCUGCAGGACACAAUUGCAACAGAAUUUUCCUUGAAUCAACGGAGGACUAUUACUUGAUGAGAUCAUUGUUUUCAGGAAGUGUUAUAGAAAUGCGAUUACCAGACACUGAGGUUUUUUAACGUAUAAAAUAGGAAAGAGAGAGGACAAGCUGUGGUGAAGAAAAUGCAAGCAUUGUACAACUCAACAGACCUCCUGUCCCAGAGAGAUUUAUUUACUGGAAAUUACGGUGAGAGGAAAGAGACUAAAUAACUUUAAGUCCCAAGUUAUUAUGUCAUAUGUAGCCCCAUAGCACAAUAUAACUACAAUCUGCAGCUUUGUAAACUGAGCUGUCAAAUACUUGUUAUUUUAAAGCUGCAGCUUUUCAGGGUCCUCUGACAGCCAGUGGUCCCAGCUCUCAGCCUGAUUCAUUGCUGGCUCUGAGACAGAGGAAGUUCGCGUCUGCUGUAAUCUAAACACUUUGCAAAUGGAGCACUGGAACAGUGGUGAAAGGAGAAAACAGCCUAAACCCUAUAAACCAGACAAGAAUCCUACAAAGCUUCUGGGGAGAAAAGAAAUAAGUACAACAGUACAGAUUGCAAGAUCAGCAAAAGUAUUCAUGCAAUUUUAUUUUGAACAAAAACAUUGAUUUUAAGCCACUUGGAUGAAAAGCAGUGAAAAUUAUUCUCUGUCAAAAAUAUGGAAACAAUGUCCCAGAUGUGUACUUCUGCAACAUCUGUAUUUUCCAUUUCAAGCAUAAAUAUUAAAAGGUGGGUUGUAGGAGGGUAUCUCCUUUUCCUCCGUUCUCUCCUAUCCCUGAGAGUUGUUUGCUUAGUCCUUAAACUGAGAUCAGUGGUUGAUUAUAAAACAUAAAACAAUGCAGAUAAUUUCCAUUACUUUUUCAGAAGCAUCAUGCAAAUGUUAAAGGGAUGAUGUAUUCCUGGGCUGUAGUACCGUGUCCCUGUACUGCUGAGACAAUGAAAUCAGACGUGUCUAUAGUUUACUCUUUCUUAAAGGAAACAAAUGCCCAAAUUCACUGAGAAAUCUUUUUAAAAAUAAUAAUAAUCUUUUCUGAUUUUAGCCUUAUUACAGUACUCACACAAUAGUAGUCUUCCUGAUCUCCAGUACACAUCUGCUGUUCUUACCUUUGCUGUUGAACCAACUUGCACAGAGCAAUGCUCAUCUGCCAUUCAUCCCUCUCUUUAUAUCGUGGUCUAACUGAGUAUAGAAAAUGUUUAUCUUAAGUACUUAUAUGAACCUCAACUUAGACUUACAUGUAGCCUUAGGAUAGCAUUCUAGCUUCAAUUUUCUCUAAACUGUCUGGAAAAUAUAUGUUUCUGUAUAAAAGAAAACUUGGUAAUUCUAUUCUACCAGACCUCAUGGCAAUAAAAAACAAAUGUAUUUUUGUAGUUUGUGUUUGGUGAGUUACAGCUCAAUUCUUUAGCAUUCGUUACAUUGACAAUAAUGCAUUACAGAAGGAAUUGUUGCAAAAGAGAAGGAUUUUUGAGAAGACAUAGUAGUAUAAUUUGUACAAAUUCUGUUCAGAAAGACACAAUGCUGAAAGUUUUGGAACUUACUUGAAAUGCUUAUAGCAGCCAUAACAUUUGCCUUUCAGACAAUGAUUUAUGGGCAGCUGGAAUUUGCAUGCAUUGCUCCGAAUCUGUGGAAGAAUCUAUGUGGUUGUUCAUGGCCUUCAGAAACAUGGAUGCUGCAAAGCAGAGCUAUGGAGAAUAUGGAAAGCAGGCUCAAAAAGCAUCUGCAAAUCUGUGCCAAUAUUAUUGCCUCUGUCAUCAAGCAAUGGAAAGGUUUUUCUAGUUAAAUUCAAGUAAUUAAAUCUCCCUGCUCUCAUUAAAAAAAAUACAACUGUCUGCUGCUGGUCUGAAGAAUUGCACAGAGUGAACGUAAAUUUUAAUUUCAUGGUGCAAGUGUUAAAUUAUUGCCAUCUAAGCUGUCUGCCAGUGUUACAUGAAAUCCCACCACAUUUUAAUAAUUCUCCCUUUGUUUUGGAUGGAAAUACCACGUGUUGUGAUUUGGAAGUUUUUAUGUGCAAUUAGAGCCCUGAGAACUACAACAUAAUCACAUUCAAUUCACCUAAUUGGACAGCGAGGAAACUGUCAUUUCUGAAAUGGUUUGUGUCUUUUGGAAUGUCUGUGUGUAUACACAUGCGUAUAAAAUGAAACAUUUUCUCACCCAUCCUGUGUUAAAAUGUAAUAGAAACUCCUGCUAACUGAAGUUGAAGAUAUAGCUGGGUGUUCUUUAGUAACCUCAAAACAUAUACGUGUGCGUGUAAAUAAAAAACUGUCCUUCUAAACACAAGGAUCCUUCCCUCCUACUUACUUUGCAACAUCUUAGUAAGGAUUUGCCAUCAAUUCCCUCUCUUUACAGUGCAUUUGAUGACAUUUUACAGAUCAUCAUACUAAAUAAGUAAGAACCAUCCUCUGAUUUAGAAGAAAAACCUUUAUUUAUUUCAAUUUAUUUUGGGAGUUCAGAAGUAAUGACAAACUUGACAAUCUUCAUGACAAACAUGACAAUCUUCACAUCACUUUAAGCUGUGUGACCAAAAAGCCAUUAGCUUCACAGAAACAGACAAUACAUUUCAUCCUGAAACAACACUUAUGAUCAACAUUUAUGCAAUCUAUAGGUACUUCCUAUAUUUGUAUCAAUGCAAGUAAGAAGACAUGGAGUAUCAAACCAGCAAGGGCUUAGAAAUAUCAAGCCCAAGAGUUUACCCAUUUACUUCAGUGGAAAAUAGUGCUAGUAAAUAUCAAUACAUAUUUUAAUCUUUUAUUUCAGUAAUUUCCAUGUAAAAGCAAACAUAUUCUGCCAACUUUAUUCAUUGUCUUUGAUCUUUUUUUGAAGCAUAUUAUGAUAGAUUUCUGAAUCUUUUAAUUCAAUGUUGAAGUAGAUAUUAAGUAUAUCACAACACCAAUCCACACUAAAUAGAACUUUUGUUUUUUGUUCUUUUGCUGAAAUGUCUGACAGUAUUUCAAGAAUAAUUUAAUUAUGAACUUUAUAUUAACAAAAGACAAGUGAUUUUUUAUUCCAUUCAGUGUGGAAUAAGAUACUACCUAUAUUUGUUAAGCCCUGUGUAUCAACCAGAAUUUGCAAAGGGAAGUUAUCAACUUCAGAUACUCAUUCUCCAUUUCCCAUAAAUAUGUUAAAAAUACAAAGUCAGCUCCUAAGUUUUUCAUCAAAUAAACUAGCUUAUUAAGAUUAAGUGGCCUGAAACCACCAUCUGUGAGUUCACAUUUAUAUCUAGAAAACCUGUAUAAUCAUGUGUAUUGAGAGUAAGGCUUAGUGUUGGAAGGCCCAACCUUGUAAACAAGCUUUGUUUACACAAGAAGACAAUAGGACUCUUCUUUUGUUUCAGAGUUUACAUGUUCAGAGGCUGAGAUCACUAUUUUUGAAAUGUGAUGAUGGGAAUACAAAGUAAUUACCUUUAUGAAGGUUUUACAAAGAAUCCUACUGUUUAAGUCAGACAGAGGUACAUGCCCGCUUCACCCUGAGCCCUUCUGCGAAUGGUCAGAAACAGAAUACUGUGUGAUCUCAAAAAGAUUCAGAGCAAACAUGGAAGACAGUUAUGUUUAAAUGACACUCUGGUUGGGCAGGCACUGAACGCAGUAACAGUUUCAACAUAGACACCUUAAACCUUCCAGUAUUCUAUUUUAGGUAAGUUGUUUUAUUGUCUCUAACCUGCUGAUUAUUUGUGAGAUGUAAAAAUGUGCAGAUACGUCUCCCUCAUCUGAUGUUGCUUCUUUGCUGCUAAGAAGGAGGUAAAACAUUACUCUUACUUAAAUUCUGCAAUGAAUGAGCACAACAGUUCAUUUCUAAAAAGGUACAUUUUUUUUUCUUUACAUGGAAUGUUUCUGAAUUCUUACUUAUUUUUCCUUAAAGUCUGUCAGAUGUGUAUCAUUCACUUUAAAGUUAUUUCCCACAUAGUUGCAUUCUUAAGGUAAAAAGAUCAAAAGGAUGGAUGGGUUCAGAGCACAAGCUGUAAACUAGUUAUAAUUCAAGAUGACUGACAAUAUUUAAAUCUUGUUCUGACAAACUAUAUAAAUGACUAAAGAACAUGGAUUCUUCAUGUGACUCUUUUAAACAAAUUUCUGCCUAGAUAUAGGUAGAACCAGGCUUAUCCUACAGCAAGAUAGAGGAUCUGGGCUCAGCACAGCAGAGCAGUACAGCCACAACUGUGUCUCACAAACAGAAGCACGUAAACCGGUCUUUUUUUCUCUGGUAAAUACAUACUUACAAUUACCUGAUAGUUUGCCAGCAGUGCUAUUGGUCAGCAAAGAUACCACUUAUAGCCACACCAGUGGACUCUACAUAGAGAGUUGGAACAUACAUAUUUCGUAUAUGAUGGCAGAUUUUUUUAUACAGAACUUCCUUUCACUUAAUUAUUAACUGCUAUAUAACCUGUCAAAGUGUGUAACAGACUGAGUGAACCACUUUCUGGGGCCAGCAUUUACUAGGAUAUUUGCAGAGCAUCAAAAUCAUACGUGGAAAGGAACUAGUUUGUCAUCUUAGGUCAACCAGCUGAUCACUUCAUCUUCCAGGAUCUUUCAAAAUGGUGCAUUUUAUUUUCUUGUGGGAAAAGAAAACUUUAACAAGAAAUUGAAUCCAUUACCCGUUUAGUGCUGUCAUACUGUUCUAUUGAGUUUUAUAGGCUGGUUCAAAAGUUUACAUAACUCUUAUUUGGUAUUAAAAUUUAUAGUGUUUUUUGAAUAAUUUCUGAAAUCCUUUUGGCUUCAUGCUUCUUCCAGUGUAUAAAUUUUUCCCUUUCCAGUGUCGUCCUCUUUCAGCAUAUAGAUCUUUCCUGGCAACAUUGAAGCAAAACAGUAUCAGACUUUAAAGUCAGAAUCUUUCCCCAUUUAAGUGCAUCCAAAUAAUCAUUUCCUCUCCAUUCUUGGUGUUUACAUGCAUCAAAUACUUGAAGAUAGUUAUGCUUCUUAUGAGCCACUUAGUUAAUCUCCAAUGUACAUACACAUAUUUUACUCCUUUAAUCUUUCUUCAUAAAUAAGUUUCUCUGUCCCCCUUAAUCAUACUUGCUAGUCCUCUCUAUAUUCUCUCCAAAACCUUUUAUUUCUGCUUUCAUUUUGGCUGUCGGAACCAUUGCUUUAAAAUUUCUUCAUUCUAAGUUUACUUAAGUGCCAAAAAAAAAAAAAAUUGCUAGAAAUAAAAAUAGUAAUAAGUUUCAGCAUAAAGCAAACAUAUUCCAGUUAAGGUAAUGUAUAUUAUAAGCACUCCUUUCCUUUUGCAAUUAAUAUUGGAUUUUCAUAGUGUAACAAAACAUCUUUAUUGCACUAGAAUACAGGAUGGGAUAUACUUUAUCUGUCUUUCAGAUUCUACUGUCCUUUCUAAACAUUUCUCACUGCCUGAAGCUUAAUUGAUCUGUUUUAGAUUACUAAAUCAGGGUGGAAUGAUGAAUCACAGCGUUGACUUUGCCAGAUAUGAAGAGAGUUUAAGACAUUCAGAACCUGAGCUCAUGUGAACCGACAUUAUCAGAAGUUUAUAAAUACAGACUUCUGCAUCUGGACAGAUGAUUUGUGAUAUCUUCCAUACUGCAUGAAAGCACAGGAUAACCAAAGCAGGCUUGUUAUUCCAUAGCAUACAAUAGUUCUUCAAAACCAGGAUUGUUAAGGUGGUGUAUUUAUCUGGAGACCUCCAGGAUUUUCAGACUAAGAUGCAGCUUUGUGUCUAACUGCAGCCUAGACAAUACAUAGAUGGGAAAAUUCUCAGUAAUUAAAUAUCAAGACCCCCAAGGCAUUACAUCAUUCUAUCAAGGAACUGAGUAUUCAAGAAGUUAGCAUCAGAGUCAACAUUUACACAAGACACAUGCACAUUAUGUAAUUAGAAGAUUAAGGUAAAAGUAAGACACUGCCUUUGGGAAAAUCUGUUUCUUAAUUGGCAGAAAGAUGAUUAAACUUGCCACAUCAGAUACUUUUGUUAAAUUGAAGAUCUUAAGAAAACAAACUCUUAUUUAUAAUUCUCAUCCCCUUAACUCCUGAAGAAGAGCUGGAAAACCACUGAAUUUCUUGUCAAAAGAAUCAUGAUUAAAAACCAACCAAAAAAAAAAAAAAAAAAAACCCACCUUGCUGUGUUUAUUCAGUCCCUCCAAUAAUCUUAAGGCAGGUUUUCCUUGAGAUAUCAUAUUGUUCCUCAGGGAAACGUUUACUUCCUAGAAGCUUCUUCAAACAUAUUUUUUUCCUAACCAAGAAACACAAGAAUUAUAAUUGGAAGUGAUCUGCAAACCAUUUACAGAUGUGUGGCAAUGAGCUAAUCUCCUUUACCCACAGUUAGUAGAGCUUCUUCAUACCAGCAUUAGUGGUUCAGAAGAUCUGCUUCUCCACAAAGCUGUGCUCUUAGAAACACAGGGAGACUGGAGAAGUUGUUGAACCACCACAAGACUUGAGAAGCUAUGGAAUCACCUCUGUUGAGCUGGGAAUCAACACAAUGCUUUCUCAGAACAGCUUUUGAAACACCACUGUAAGCUACUGAAAGAUGCGUGAAUGUUUCCUGUGAACAGCAGGGAGUAUGCCCAGCAAAGGAUGGUGGGACUUACUUUGCUGGUAAAAUAUUUUCAUACAUGAAAGACAAAGCUUUUCCUCCUCAGCCAUGUAAGACUAUGACUUCCAGAAGUGAUAAAAUGAUCGGUAGUGCAACAUAGCUCACUGUGUACCUGGCAUUUGGUUAUCUGUAUUGUACUUUCUAUAUUAUUUCAGUGAACUGAAAAAUUAGUCCAUUAUUCUGAUGGCAGAGACAACCAGCUGUCUUCUUGAUAAGAUGUUGCCUGUUUUUCUCUCUUUUCCUUUUUAACCUGUUAAGCUGUUUAUGUAAUAAGUGAUAGCAAGUCAGACGGUUCAACUAAAGUAAAACACUGCUAAUGGAAUAUAGUGUGUUCAUUGUUUUAAAAAGUCUUCCAUAGAUAAUAAGUGUUUGUAAAAAAGAAACAUUUUGAAGUAUUAGUUUAUGCUUGCUUUCCAUUUCUAUUUUAAGCCUACAUAGAAUAAAAAAAAAGAUGGAGAGACAAGAAAGUAAAAAUGAUAGCACUCAGAUAGUCACAACACACUGAAAGAUUUUGUUUGACAAAAGCAUUGCAGUUCCUAUAAAAACAAAGCUUAGCAGAUUAAAAAUAAUAAUAAUAAUAAUUAGCCUGCUAAAAAAAUUCUCUUUUAUCAUUUUCCAUCAGAAAAUCAAAAAUAACUACAAUUGUUUUAUUUAAUCUGUUCCUGUAAAAUAGAUUUGCAGUAUUCUUUCUCCCGUAUUUUCAGAACUGAACAAUUUUUUACCAUAUGUGCUGUUUUAGUGCAAGUCUCCACUUUCAAAUAUUUUUAUUUUAUGAUGUCUCUUCUGCUUUCUUUCAUUUGCAGGUUUGUUCUUCAUUCUUGCAUCACAGCAGGAGUUGUACCCUUUAUCAGUGUUGAUGUCUUCUUAAAAGAGGGUCUGUGACCGCAUUUGAAGUAUCUCUACUACCAGUUGUGGUGAUUUCACCCUGAUGUGCAGCUAAACUACUACAUCAUUCUCCUGUUACUCCUACUCAAAGGAAGAGGGGGAGAAAAUGAAAUGAAAAAAGGCUCAGGGUUUGAGAUUACCGUCACUGAUCAGUGAUUAUGAGAAUAAAUAAACAUAGUGUGGAAAAAUCUUUGUAUAGUCAUUAAAAUACCCAAGUGUGGCAUUCUAGUAGAGAUUUAAUAAGGAGAAGAAACUGACCCUCAGACUUAGGAAUUCAUUUUCUUUACUUUUCUACAAGGACAGACAUACAUCUCUCUAUCUAAUUUAUAUAUACAUACGUAUAUAUAAAGCAAAGCUUUUAAAGAAUUUUUAUUUAUCAUUGUAAAAUCUCUACUUAGAAUUGGAAAGAGAUAGAAAAAAAAAAAGUAGACUUUGAUUAUCACCUUGAUACAUCUAAGUGUUUACAGUGGGAGCUAAGCUGUAGCAUAGCAAUGUAAUAAAAAUAGAAAGUAAAGUGACGUAAAAAGUGCACUGAGGACUACCUUAUAACUAAUUCCAAACGUUCAAGAAUAGUAAAUGGUUAACAGUGAUGCAAAAGGAAAUUACAGAAAAAACAAUCAAAAAGGACUCCUAAACAAUGAAAGGAAACAAAAAAUUAAUAAAGCAGAAGACUGAAAAACAGAUAAGGAGAGCAAAACGGUGAAAGAUUUCACAGAAGAUUAUGAAAUUAGCACAAAAAAUUUUUAAACAAUCCUAAGAAUAAACUGUCAUUGAAGAACAGAAUAGGGAUUGUGGAGGAUCAUUUUUUAAGGGAUGAGGUAAAAAAAGAUGGAAAAUUUAAACAAAUUCUUCGCAUAGCUGUUCAGAAAGAAAUGUCAGCUCGCAGAGCUGUAGAAAUAUAGGUACAUAUUUUCUGGAGCAAAAGGAAGGAUAAAACACCUAAGUAAACACACACUGUAUGUGACAUAGUACAGAUGACAAUCUUAGCAUGUAUCACAUAAAAUAAUUUCUCAGUGCUAAAGCAUAUGCACUUCAGAAUUCACAGAAAGGGACAAAAAACAGCAUCACUCUUCACAAGACUAAUUUACAUCACUUCACCAUUCAGAUAACUUUUCCUUUUCAAAAUGUUGCUUUGAAGUCACAUGGGCUACUUACAUGACUGACAACUCUAGGACUGCAGUGAAAAAGAAGUUUCAGUGGAAUUAAAGAAAAAGUAACGGGAAGUGUGCAGGAGGUAUCUGUGCAAAGAAGGGCCCCAUGCAACUCCUCUCACAGCUUGCCUCUAAAAACUCAAGAACUGGGUUUAAAUGAGAGAAACACCUUGUCUUUCUGGCAAGUUUUAGCAAUGCCUUCUAUGCAGGAAAGCAAUUUGCUUCAAGACCAAACAGAAAUGCACACUGGUUAAGAGUGAUAUAUUACAAAAACAACAGAGUAUAGCUAAAUUCAGCAAAUUAUGAAGCAAUGGCUAUUUCAGUGAGAGUCAGAGAUUCGUCUAAUGAGAUCCAGGAGUUUCAGCUCUGAACAAAAAGUGAUGAAUUCAAGCUUAAAUUCCUACAAGUAACCCCUAUUCUACAUUAAAGGUAACCAUCCAUCACAUUUUUAACUACAUCUACAAGGGAGUUCAGUAACUUCAGUCUAAAAAAUUCAAAACACAGACAUAUUUUCAGCCAAAACAAAGCCAGAGCCAGCAGUAAUUUUAAUUCUUUUCACUAAGUAUUGUUCUGGCCAUAAGACUAUGUGUAAAAUGGAUGUGGUUGAAGCCACAAUGGACUGUAAGGUUUAUAGGAUGAACAAGUUGCUAAGGAAGAGCUUGCAUGCCUAAAAACUUACAUUAUUCCAGCUGGAGUGCAUCCUGUAACAACAGUACUUCUUUAUUCUUCCAUAUCUUCCCUAAAAAGCUGAGCGCUCUGGCUGAAGACAGGCCAGGAGAGGCGCAUGGAUGUUUGCCUUCUUCAUGUUGCCUGAAAACCUAGUCCUUGUCUCAUCUGGGAACAGGACAGUCAUGCCAAGUGGAUGCAUCUCCCUGCAUCUGUGGAGAGACAGCAAAUGUGCUGUCUGGAAAGUAUCUGUGUUCUAGGAGGUGAGAAACUGGCUUGGGCUGUUUGAUUUCACUUCUACUCAGAGAAAUGGGGCAAUGAACUUUCUAAUAAACAGGUUUGGUUCACAGAGGGAUGACUCCACCAUCGAUCAUUCCACCAGAGGAAUAACUCAAGAUUCGAAAAUUUUAACCAGAUAAUUUUAUCAAAAGAAUAAUAAAAAAAAAAAAAAAAAAAAAAAAAAAAAAAGGACCAAGUAAUGACUUAAAACAAUUGCUGUGAUAUUACAUCUACAUAGGAUCUACUGGCCUAUAUGUCAGUUUUAAUCUGCCACUGGUUAAAUCCUACAUACUGAGCAAAAUAACUUACCAACACAAUACAUGCAAAGUAAAUAAAUACUCAAGCAACACUCUAUGUCCCACAUCCACUCAGAUACCAGAAGUGUGUAUUUCCAGUCUGUGAAAUACAAUGAUAAGUAAAAACAGUGAUUCUCCAUGAGUGCAUUACUCAGAAGAAGCAAUGUUAAGGCAGUCAGUGUGAUCUUUAAAAAUCACUCCCAGUAAAUAAAUAAAUAAGCACCUCUACCUGCACAGCUAUCUGAAGACAAGUUAACAAAUUCUGUUUUCCACUUAUUAGCAAAUCAGUUGUUCUGUAAAGAAUACAUGAUCAAAACCUACAGCAACAGCUGGCACAUGUAUAAAGCGGGGCAAAAAAAUUAAGAUGAAGUAUUUCUGACAAAAAAAUAUAUGAAACAAAACAAAGUUGAAAACUGAAGCAGAUAUCAGAUAACCAUUUUGUCAUUUAUAAAAUACUUUUUCAGGACAAAAGGGGUUGCCAUACCUUUUCACUCAGCAUAUCCUCAGAGUCACAUAUUAAGCUGAUCAAAUCCGAGGGUACUGCAGUAAGCUGAAGCUUGAAGCUGCCUCCACUUCCUUCAUUUCGUUUACAGUUUUGUUUGGGGGUUGUUCUUUUUUUUCUUUUUAGCUUGCAGAAACCUGAGGGAAAAAAUAUUUUGGGGGUUACUAUCGAAAUAGUUUAUUCAGUAGUCAAUUAACUGAAAAAAACAAAUAGUUCUAAACUGAUCUCUUAUAUACCAUGCCCCUUUUUAUAUCAUAGUUAUUGGUUCCAUUCUGUUGUUAUAUUUUACUGAAAACAUUAUGAAUAUAAAUGAGAAUAGUGCACAAAGAGCAGAGGUGAAGAUAUGUCCCAUUAGAAAUCUGCUUUUUUACUUACAUUUACUGAGGUUAUCAAGUACCUCUUUAUGAACUCUUCAUCCCUUUCUAAAAGGUAAAGUUGAAAUUGGGAAAUAUAUUGCAUCAGUUAUUGGGCAUUCUGGGGUUUUCCAUUAUUUUAAAAACCUCCUAUGUGCCUAAUUAUAGCUAAUAAGUACUGUUUAGAAACAUAGCAGAGAACUCAUGAUUUCCUUCUUCACCCAAUGCCCAGAAAAUCCAUGUCCGAGAACAAAAUCUUGAAGGUAUUUGUGAUCAUGACCCAUUCUCAUUAUCUGUAUCCAUUCUAAGAUUUUUAUAUUAUAUGAAUGAAUAUUUUAAAGUGAAAUUAUAGUAUUCAAUGGCAAAUUACAACUACAUGUGACCAAGAGAGGAUUAAACCCAUCAUUUUGCUUAAGAGCUCUGAUGGCUGGAGUAAUUGGAUGAUAGCUGUAGGGCAUCUUUUUGGUCUGUAAUUAGGUCAUUUCUUUCUCAUCCCUUCACUGUGUGUAUAAUUACGAAUUAAUUUGAAAUCCCACUGUGAGUAAAGAAAGUCAGUUUAAUAUAACGGAAGUGCAAAAGCCACAAUAUAUUACUUUUUAAAAACUGCUUAUUUCAAAAUACUCAGUCUGGCCAAAAGUUAUAUCCCUAUGUACUGCAAGGCUUAUAUUUGGUUUCUUUGCUAACUUUGUACAAGUGCUGCUCUGAAAGUAAUGCCUCCUGUUUUAUUAUGUUGGUGUGCAAUGUCAGAGGUGGAUUUUGGUGGUACAUCAGGAGAGGUUGAACCUUCACACCAGUAUUCCACUACAUUUUGUUGCUGUGUGACAGAUGGCAGCAGAGGGUCAGUCUGACAAAAUGGCUUCUGACACGGAAGCAUCUGAGAAGAAAAGAUGUGGAACUGAAUUCCUCCAUGUGGUAAAAAAAUUGCAUCCAUUGACUUUCACUGAUGCUUGCUGAACAUUUAUGGAGAUCAAACAGUGGAUGUGAGCUCAGUGAGGUUGUGGGUAAUGUGUUUCAACAGCAGUGAUAGUGGCAGUGGUUCACCUCCACCGGUGCAAAUUUUUACAAGAACAGCAAGCAGGUUCUCGUUCAUCGUUGGCAAAAAUGCAUAGCUAAUGACAGUGAAUAUGCAGCAAAAUAAAGUUUGUAUUUGAGAAUUUUCUCUAUGAAAUAGUGUUAUUGUGCUCUUUGUAUUUGUUGCAGUUUCUAUGGAAAUAAACAGCAAGUAUUACUUUUGAAUCAAUCUACGUUCCUGGAUGUAUUUUCUCUCUUAAAAUAAAUGAAUUUUCAAAGCACCACACUUUGCUCCAGUAUCUGUCAGUAGGUGUCAACAGCACAAAAAGGUAGUGGAAAGAAAUAAAAAGUAACCAUGAGAGUCUUGACAGACAGUAUUAGCAUCAGAGAACUUAGAGGCCACUCUCAACACAGUCAACCAUUUUAUCCUUUAGUCCUGCCAUUAUUUCCUUCCACUGAAACUACCUUUCUGCUUUUACCCUGAAAGUGUUAAACACUGCACAACCCUAACUAGCAUACCUGCUACUAUGUGCAUCAGGAGCUCACCAUUUCAUCAUCUGGCUGAGAUAUGCUGCUGGCAAGUUCUGCUUCCCUUCCUUUAUCACAACAUUGUGGUCGGAUGCAUCAGACCUCCCUCCCGCCUUAGCAAUGAUACAGGUAAAAACAUGCAUUUCUGACAAAUGGAUAACCCCAAGCAGAUCUGUGGAGACAAUGUUUUGACUUGCUGAACUUCCUGUUUCAUUCUGUUUUCAUCUGUCCCCAGAAACCUUGAAAGGGGUCGGUGAGAGGGUCCCAGGUGUGAUCUGAGCACCAGUGAUGUCAACAGCGAGCCAGGGGCUGUGCAGGGUGUGAAGUUAAAGGGAAGAGCAGAGAAAAGACUGUUGGUGCAGAGAACAAGGGUACUGAGAUUUGACUGUAUUUGUAGCUGUGCUGUAAAAAACUGUAAAACAUCCCAUGCCGUUAGCAUAAGAUUAGAUUUCUGCCAGGAAAAAAAAAAAAAAAAAGAGAGAGAGAGAGAGAACAAAAAGAAAUGGAACUGCUUAGAUAUAAGUUCCAAAGUUCAUUAAGAGGGUUCUUUUCUGCAUAGCUCCAAAGCUAAGAUGUGCUAAGGCAUGUAGAAAAAUAAGGAGGUGUUAAAAACCUACCCAACUUCUUAGCUUUCAAAAAAAGUUCAAAGUCCUAGUCAUCGAUUAUUUACAUGGUGACCUCCAGGCCUAUUUGUGAUGCCAAAAAAAUUGUACUCAGGAAGGAAGGAAGACAUUAUCAAAAAGGAAAGAAUUUCUGUUUAAUCUAAUAAUGCCUUUAUAAAAAUAACCAUUUUCUUUUACAUAUAAUAAAAAAUUCAUUAGAAAAUCUCAACAUAUUUUUAUAUAAAAAUAAUAACUGGCAACAUAGCUAGAAAUAAGAAGCAGAGAAAGAAACUUGGAUGCAUUUCUUGCUUGCAAGAGCAUGAUGAGGAAAUAAGGUAAUCUAGUCUUCCCAUUCUGAACAAAAUAGACAUGAUAACAGAAUAUAUAAAUCAAGACAUUUUUGGAGAAAUAAUGUCACUCCAUAAUUUUUGAAAGUAGAAAUAAUUUAAAAUUCAUGCAUGAAACUAAAUAGGUAAAAUAUGUCAUUUUGAAAUAACAUAACAGUAAAAAUAAUUUGUAAAACUUUUUUUGUUUUUUAACUGAGUCUCAUUUUAUACUUGGAAAAUUUUCUUUAGAAAAUUUUCAACCUCUUCUAUGUAGCUCCUGGGUAAAUAUGGAGGUUUUAUGGAAACCAAACAAAUGAAUUAAAUGACUACAAGAAUUAUUGGCUCUAAAUAUAUACAUUUUCUUCUGAUGCUACUAGAAUGUUACUAGUAUAUACUGUAUGAAUUAUAAAAAAUGUUAUGACAGAUAUGGAAGUAAUAUACUUCGGUGAUAAAUCUUCAAUAGAAAGAAUUUAUUAGAGUCAUAUAGAUCUACU